GCACUGCUGAGGAGUCCUACAGCAGGACGAAACAACCGUCCAGUGC
rfam:Schistosoma rodhaini strain Burundi genome assembly, scaffold: SROB_scaffold0000145